UCGAGCGGGUAGAGAGAAGCUUGCUUCUCUUGAGAGCGGCGGACGGGUGAGUAAUGCCUAGGAAUCUGCCUGGUAGUGGGGGAUAACGUUCGGAAACGGACGCUAAUACCGCAUACGUCCUACGGGAGAAAGCAGGGGACCUUCGGGCCUUGCGCUAUCAGAUGAGCCUAGGUCGGAUUAGCUAGUUGGUGAGGUAAUGGCUCACCAAGCCGACGAUCCAUAGCUGGUUUGAGAGGAUGAUCAGCCACACUGGGACUGAGACACGGCCCAGACUCCUACGGGAGGCAGCAGUGGGGAAUCUUAGACAAUGGGGGAAACCCUGAUCUAGCCAUGCCGCGUGAGCGAUGAAGGCCUUAGGGUUGUAAAGCUCUUUCAGCUGGGAAGAUAAUGACGGUACCAGCAGAAGAAGCCCCGGCUAACUCCGUGCCAGCAGCCGCGGUAAU
rnacentral:rRNA from 1 species